rnacentral:tRNA from 1 species
ACCCUCAUGGUGGAAUGGUAGACACGGCUGGCUUAGAACCAGUUGCUUAGGCGUACAAGUUCGAGUCUUGUUGGGGGUA